GACGAACGCUGGCGGCGUGCUUAACACAUGCAAGUCGAACGGAAAGGCCCUGCUUUUGUGGGGUGCUCGAGUGGCGAACGGGUGAGUAACACGUGAGUAACCUGCCCUUGACUUUGGGAUAACUUCAGGAAACUGGGGCUAAUACCGGAUAGGAGCUCCUGCUGCAUGGUGGGGGUUGGAAAGUUUCGGCGGUUGGGGAUGGACUCGCGGCUUAUCAGCUUGUUGGUGGGGUAGUGGCUUACCAAGGCUUUGACGGGUAGCCGGCCUGAGAGGGUUACCGGCGACAUUGGGACUGAGAUACGGCCCAGACUCCUACGGGAGGCAGCAGUGGGGAAUAUUGCGCAAUGGGCGGAAGCCUGAUGCAGCAACGCCGCGUGCGGGAUGACGGCCUUCGGGUUGUGAACCGCUUUCGCCUGUGACGAAGCGUGAGUGACGGUAAUGGGUAAAGAAGCACCGGCUAACUACGUG
rnacentral:rRNA from 1 species